UACGAGGGGCGCAAGCGUUGUCCGGAUUCAUUGGGCGUAAAGGGCAUGCAGGUGGUUUUAUAAGUCAGAAUUGAAAGACAGCGGCUCAACCGUUGGACCGGUUCUGAAACUGUAAAACUUGAGUCUGAGAGAGGUAAGCGGAAUUCCUGGUGGAGCGGUGGAAUGCACAGAUAUCAGGAGGAACACCGAUGGCGAAGGCAGCUUACUGGCUCAGUACUGACACUGAGGUGCGAAAGCGUGGGGAGCGAACAGG
rnacentral:rRNA from 1 species